rnacentral:lncRNA from 1 species
AGAUCUUUUUCUUCUAGAAAUCAUCUUGACUCCUACGUAAAUUUGUGGAUAUCAUUGAAUGCCUGGGAGGAGGGGCCCAUCUGCUUCACCCAUCAAGAGCCUCUAAGAGAUGAUUUUUUAAUUCAUUUGAGAGAGAGAAAAACCACGAGCAGGGGGUGGAUCAGAUGGAAAAGGAGAAGCGGACUCCACACUGAGCAGGGAGCUUGAAGCAGGGCUCCAUCCAAGGACCCUGGGAUCAUGAUCUGAGCUGAAGGCAGAU